rnacentral:rRNA from 1 species
GUGUCAGCCGCCGCGGUAAUACGAGUUGUGCAAACGUUAUUCGGAAUCACUGGGCUUAAAGGGUGCGUAGGCGGACAUGUAGGUCAGGUGUGAAAUCCCACGGCUCAACCGUGGAAUUGCGCUUGAAACCACAUGCCUUGAGGGGAUCAGAGGAGAGCGGAACUGAUGGUGGAGCGGUGAAAUGCGUUGAUAUCAUCAGGAACACCGGUGGCGAAAGCGGCUCUCUGGGAUCUUUCUGACGCUGAGGCACGAAAGCUAGGGGAGCGAACGGGAUUAGAUACCCCGGUAGUCCUAGCUGUAAACGAUCUGUACUAGUCCGUGGGGACCCCCACAUCUUCUCGGACGUAGCGAAAGUGUUAAGUACAGCGCCUGGGGAGUAUGGUCGCAAGGCUGAA